ACGGAAGGCAGCAGUGGGGAAUAUUGGGCAAUGGGCGAAAGCCUGACCCAGCAACGCCGCGUGAAGGAUGAAGGUCUUCGGAUUGUAAACUUCUUUGAUCAGGGACGAAACAAAUGACGGUACCUGAAGAACAAGCCACGGCUAACUACGUGCCAGCAGCCGCGGUAAUACGUAGGUGGCGAGCGUUAUCCGGAUUUACUGGGUGUAAAGGGCGUGUAGGCGGUUCUGCAAGUCAGAAGUGAAAUUCCCGGGCUUAACUCGGGCGCUGCUUCUGAAACUGUAGAACUUGAGUACUGGAGAGGAUAGUGGAAUUCCUAGUGUAGCGGUAAAAUGCGUAGAUAUUAGGAGGAACACCAGUGGCGAAGGCGGCUAUCUGGACAGUAACUGACGCUGAGGCGCGAAAGCGUGGGGAGCAAACAGGAUUAGAUACCCUGGUA
rnacentral:rRNA from 1 species